UACGUAGGGGGCAAGCGUUGUCCGGAAUCAUUGGGCGUAAAGCGCGUGUAGGCGGCUCAGUAAGUCCGCUCUGAAAGCCCCGGGGCUUAACCCCGGGAGGCGGGUGGAUACUGCUGAGCUUGAGUCCGGAAGAGGCGAGUGGAAUUCCCGGUGUAGCGGUGAAAUGCGCAGAUAUCGGGGAGGAACACCAAUGGCGAAGGCAGCUAGCUGGACGAGAUCCGACGCUCAGGGCUCGAAAAGUAUGGGGGAGCCAAAAA
rnacentral:rRNA from 1 species